UCACCGCAGCAUCUCGUUCCCUAUUCAGGGAACCGUGGUUACAUACGUAACCGAGAUGUUAUAUAAACAUUAUCCCCCGGUUUCACAGACAAGUUUCAGACUAAAAUGCGUGUUCAAGCUGUCUUAAGAGAAAAAAUCUUGUACUGGCACAUCUUAAAAUAUAUCAGUGCCAUUGUCGUGUCUCAAGAUGCACACCAGUAAAGUUCUUAAUGUAUUUUUAUAGAAGUUAUUUAAAUAUCCUAAUUUAUUAACUAAGGCCUAGUCCUGGCUUAAGCUAAGCCCUGUCUGUGAAACCCUGUCUCUAUUUUCAAACAUGGAAGUUAUACAAGAAUGAAUCAAUGUCGUUGUUCAUAUCCAUUUAAAUUACUCUGUGCACUAAAAUGUGCACUUACGCCACCUCACAGCCAAACUCCAGAUCAGCUGUGUGUCAUGUGGGUUAACUGAGACCUCUUCUGAGGAGGAUCACUUUAUUGACAAGUACACUGCACAAUUAAAUGUAAAUACUUAAGUUGGAUGCCCUUAUAAAGACUGUAACUUUAAUGUUUGAUCUUCACAGAAAAGCCUGACAUCACCACCCAUUUUUACAGUAAACCAGAACUCAUAAUUACCGUCUGUAAUCUGGGAAUUUUCUGAGAGCUUCUACUUUUAUCACGUGACUCUACGCACAGUCCCCGGUCCAAGGACAUGAACAGCUCUAAGUAGAACAUGGUGUGAACACAGUUUAUGAUCUUGAGUAUUUGACAACAGCAUUAUCUAACUGACUUGAUAAUGUCUUUAUCAAUCUGUUUCUUCCUCUGUUAGGAUGCAGAUGACAAGACAGACUCCAGUAAGAAUCCUCAGCGUCCCAUCUAGAGUGGGAAUCUUCUUGGAAGAAAACUUUGUAAUGGAUGAAUCGACCAAUCUCAGGCCUUCUAUGUCCACUUUUUCAGACUGAUUUAUGCCCUCCACCUGGACUAAGUGUUUGAAAAGCACUUUAUAUUUUAUUCAGCAGGUAAUUCUCAACCUCGGAAAAGAUGAGUUAGCACCUAAUAUUCAGUACUGCCAAUAUUGUG